UUUUGGUUCAAAUUUUAUUUUAGUUGCUAGUUGUAAGAGCUUGUGAAUUUUACAAAUAAGAGACUCAUGUACUUUAGUUUCUUUUGAGUUGAUAUAUAUAUAUAUAUAUAUAUAUAUAUAUAUAUAUAUACACAUAUAUAUAUGUAUACACACACAUAUAAUAACUCAUCUCUCCAUCUAUGCAGGCUUGAUGCGCACUAGGCUUAUGCCAUAAAAUUUCAAGGAAAUAUAUAGGAGCUUUGUAAACUUUUUCAUCUUCCUUUGUAUCUGAAUAAGCUUAGGUAAAUGCAUGUAUUCAUAUAGGAAUUCAUAAAUAGAAAUAAAGUAUCUGAAAGUUUAAUGAUAUCUACAAGUACUUAAUAACAUCAACGUCAUAUCCAGUUUUGUAUAUAGUACAUCUUAAUAUUCUUAAUUUUUCCUUUAUUUUUGAGAAUUUCAUACAUGGGGAGUAGACAUUCAUAUUUCAUUCUACACAUACAUGAAUUCUCAGUGUUUUCAACAAACAAUGGUAGUCUGUACUGGGGAAUAUAGAAAUGAAUAAGAUUUGGGGGAAGAAAGCAUGGUCUACAGCAAGGGAAAAGCAUUCUAUGCUAAGGGCUCUGCCAUCAGCCCCUGUGACUCACCCUUUCCAAGGUGCACAGCCUGUGUACCUGACAUGAUCAGUUUUAUGUGUCACCUUGACUGGGCCACUGCGUACCCAGAUAUUUUGUUCACAUGUGACUCUGGGUGUUUCUCUGACGGUGUUUGGGGAUGAGAGCAAUGCCCGAGCUAAGGAAGGUAGGUGGCUGUCAUGGCUAGCUUCAACUGUCAAAAGCACCUGGAAGGGUGCUUCAAGGAAGGAUUAUCUAGAGUAGGCAGACUUUGGGGCAUGUCCGGCAGGGGUAUCUCGAUUGUGUUAAUUGGGGUGGGAAGAUUUACCCACUGUGGGCAGCACCAUUCCUUGUCCAGGGGUUGAGAGUAAGCUGAGCUCUAAUAUGUGGGGAUCUAUCAAAUGUGGAUGCACUGUGACUAGUGGCUUCUAGAUUUGACGGUAGCAGGCUGUAACCUGCCACUGUGGGCCAAAAUAAAUCAUUUUUCCUGUAACUAAACCCCUUUACACUUAAGUUGUUUUUGUAAGGGUUUUCUAUGGCAGCAAAACAGGAAGUGAAACUAAGAAAGUCCGUACCUGGGUGAGCCCAACCUAAGCCCUGAAAGUCUGAAUAGAAGGAAAGACUGACUAAAGGCUUUGAACGUGGGCUUGUUUCUUGCUCCCAGAAGCUCCUCCCAGGCUCCUGGGCUUACCAGUGUUCAUACUGGGGCUGGGCUGAGGUCAUCAGCUCCCCUGGGUCUCGGGACACCGACAUAGGGCUGGACCAGGAUAGGUGAUCCUCUGCCUUGAACCUCCAGCUUGCCAAAUCAACUUUGAAAGUCUUGGGACUAAGCCCCUAAACCAUGUGUCUAAUCCUUAUAGAAAACCUCUUUACACUCACACAGGUAGAUGCUUCCUGUUGAAUCUGUUUCUCUGGAGAGUCCCGACUUGGACCCUUUGUAAGGACUCAGGCUUUGGGGCUGUGUUAAACCAGGAAACACCAUCCUUUCCUUCCUCUGAGGCCUGGACUCUUAUAAAGCUGACUCCUCUACAUCAGCCACCCAUGUUACCCUCCUGGAGCUUCUAGGAUGACAAAGAACAAGGUCCCCAGCUAACAGUCACAGCUAAGCCAUCGGGUUUACACUUUACUGAUCGAUCCCACCCCUCAGGAGGGGUGAUUCAGGAGAGGCAUGGCUGGGCUCACACAUUGUGUUCCCUUUUAAAAGUCCUUUCAUUCCCUUUUUUUUUUUUCCUUUUGCAGAGGGUGGAGAGAGCAUGCCAUGGUUUGUAUGUGGAGGUCAGAGGGCAGCUAACUGUCGGCACUUGGUUCUCUCUUUCUAGAGAUCAAACUCAUUUUGAAGCUUGGCAGCCAUGGCUUUUACCUGCUGAUCCUUCGGCCCUCGUUUUUAUUUAUUUUUAACUACUAACAUUCCACUGGGUAGAAGUAAGCAAGAUGAUGUAGUGGGGAAACAGAUCAGAGACUAUGCGACCAACCCUUAGGGCACAGUCCUGCACUAAGGACAAAGGGUGGAGAGGGGACACAGCUAGAAGGGACAAAGACACCCAGAGCACCAGACAACUCUGGGGUAUCUGACUCUGGAGAUGCUGGACAGACACUGAUGUAUGGAGAAGAUGACAGGAGCAAGCUCUGGGGCAAAGAGUAGAGGGGACACAAGAAUGAGGCCAGUAAGGACAGGAAUGUCCACGUCAACAUGUCAUCCUAGACUUGGGCGUGAGGACCUCCAACACACUCCACAUUGACAACAUCUGGAAAGUCAUCAGUAGGACUGUCAGGACUGUCUCAGGGAUGGUGACAAAGUUCACAGGGACCAUGACGUUCUGGUAGCUGUUUUCUGCUGUUAUGUCGUUCUUUAAACAAACAUUUAAGAGCAGGUUGGCUUAUAAAGAUAGAUACACUGAAUGAGUACCAGAUAAAACAAUAGACCGUCCCACUGUCCAUCUCUUCUAGUCUAGACUCCACUCGGAGUUAACUCGUAGCUUCUGGCUCCACAGACUAUGGAUGGCAGUAGAGGGCACGCCUCCCACUGGCUGAAUCUCUCUGAGCCACUACUGAAAGCUGAAACACACCUCUUGCAAGUGAGUUCAUUUGACUGUUUAAGGCCUUUGAUUCUACUGUAAGUAAGCUAGUGGCACUGUGGAGAUGCUCAGAGGUCCUCAGCCAACCCCUCCCUUUCCUAGAUCCCAGUAUAUGUGUGCCUCUGUUCACAGAGUCUUCCUGGCUCUACUUACGGAAAAUGCACUAAGCCGUGAAAGCAUCGCCAAGGUGAGGACGGCACCAGCUAACUGGGUGGGACCGUGAGUUCAGUUUAUUUUCAAAGUGACUCAGUAGAAUCCAGGAAUAAGCCUUUGGCAUGAGCCAAAAGCUCUGGGCUAGCUUUCAGAUAAGGGUGAAGCCGCACGAAACAUCUUUCCAGAAACUCGGUGCCCUCAAAAACCCCUCCUCCCUACUGUCUGAAGAAUCAGAGCAAGCCACUGCAGGUCCUUACCCAGCCCUGGGGCCCUGCAUGCCCGUUUUCAUAAGGGUAUAUUUCUGGUCUCUCUAACGGGUGAGUUUCCUGUUAAUAUCCUUUCCAAUAUCUCUUGCCAUAAGACUUCUCAUAGUCACACUGACCCCAGACUCGGCCCCCAAGCAGGGAAUGAUUGACUGAAGACUGCCUCUCCGGUUGCUUUUGCUGCGCAGUCUAUGGCACAGGAAGGGAGGAUGGAUCUGAAAGUGGACGAAUCCAGCUCAGAGCUUAGAGCUCCACGCACCACCACUGAACUUCAGAAAAGACUUCAUCACCCCUAGCCUUGGUUUUCAUAUCCUUACAGUAGGCAGACUGACAGCAGCCGCUUGCAGCUGGGUGCUAUCCACAGAGGGGGAUAAUAAUAAGAUUCAUGCAUAUGCAUGACUUCACUAGGGAUACGCUGUUUGAAGACAAAGGCCAUGUUUUUUAAACAUCUGCAUCCCAUAGCACCUGCCACAUUAUAAAUGCGCGAGAAACAUGGUAUGAUUAUGUAACAUGAGCAAAUGCCAAAAAAAAAAAAGAAAAAGAAAGGAAGGAAGAAAAAAAAAGAGAAAGAUGUUACAUGUCAAGUGAUACUAUAAACAAGCCAGUUUGUGUGCAGUAUGUCAUUGAGCUCUGAGCCUUCAGCGGCUGCCUCCUCAGAUGCUACCUCCAAACCCAGAGGCAGCCUCAGCGCCUGUAUAUCAUAAACUCCCUGGCACCCUGUUCAGGAAAAACUAAAAGGCAUCUAUCAUACCAGCUUUUGAAUCAAAACAAUGCAAAAACUGCUGCUAAGGUACACUAUUCUUUUCUUAGUUUUUUUUUUUUUUUUAAAACUACACUGCACUAAUCAAGAAAAUGGUUUUCCAUGGCUCCCUGUGACAAGCAGGGAAGACUGUCAGGUAUGUCACACACAUGGCUUAACAUGUCACAAUGAAUGAAAUACUCAUUUCCCAGCUCUGAGGUUCAGUGUGAGUCUCACCUGCACUGAGAACAUUCAGGUAAACAAGGCCUGGCAAGUAAAACUCGUGUCAAUCCGGACAUGGGGACAUCACCAAUCACUUCUCUCAAUGCCAGGCCAGAGAGGGCAGAACACUCUAUUUUUGGAAAGAAAAGACACAGACUCUCCCACAAAGAAUUUACUUACAAACGUAAGCACUAACCAAUUCCACUAUUUUAUCUACUUACUUUAUUAUUUAUUUGGAAAGGUCUCCCUCUAUUAGCUAAGCUGGUACCUGCUAUGCUUGAACAGGGUGACCUUAAACUUAAGACAGUCCUCCUGCCUUUUUCUCCAAGUUCCUGAGAUGACAGCGACCUAAAAACACUGGGUUAAAUGAGAGAGCCUCAGGACAGCUCCCUAGGAAAGAUGGCUUCAGGACAAACUUCUGUUGCUGUGAAGCUGGCACAGAAGAUAAUCCACCCACUGAAGAGCAGAAUUAGCACCGGGGCUUUGGUGUUGGGUUUGUUUCCCUGAAAUAACUUCUUUCUCAGGCUUCCCAUGGCAUCACGGUGAAUCUCUGAAACGUGAAAUUUUAGGCAACAUCAGCGGUCUUUUUUUUUUUUUUUUUCUUUUCUUACAAUGGUUUCUAAGACAUAGGGCUGAACUCAUGGUCACAGUAAGGCAAUGACAACUCGGACUCCUACCCACGGCCAGCGGCUAGCUGCUGUAGGGUUCUGCUUCUGCUCGGCUAUCAUUUGCACCCUGGCUUCCAUGGCUGCUUCCCAGUGUUGACAGGUAUCAAUUGCUCUCAGAUCUUUGAAUGAGACAAAUUUUAUAAAUUCUCAGACUUGGAGAUCUGCCCAUUCUGGACAAGUCAUAUUCACAAGUUACCUAACUCCUUCCUUGGGUGCCCUUCCAGACAUACUGGCAAAUACCAGGCGUCUGUAAGCAUUUUGGCUGACUCCCUCCCAGUUGAGGUACAGACAUGACCAGGAAUUCACCUGAAUCCUGUUCAGUGGUGCUGUUCAGGUACAAAAUGCAUAAGAUAUGCUGUGAACAGUCUCCCCAAACAGUAUAUGCCACUGGCAAAGGCCCAUCCAAACAGCGCAGCUAAGCGUAUCAGAAAUACAAGGCAAACAUGAGCCCGUCAGAUAAUGGGGAGGCCUCUUAAUAGGCACCAUCCUGUCAAAUAUACCUACAUCCAAUGUACAGCAUGAGCAAGUCAGGGAUUAUAGACGCACACCUAUUCUUUAUAAAUGGCAUAUAGGAUGGUGUUUAUCCACCUGAAUCUACAGAGUUAAGAGAAGGCUGUGCAUGACAGUGUUGAGGGCAUCAUUAAUGCCGUGAGGACUCUGUGAAAAUGCUCUACAGCUUUGCUCUCACUUAAGGUAUAGAGACAGAGAGCAGAAGAUGACUGAAAGUGAUAAUAUAUGAGUACACAUACAUACACACACAUACACACACACACAUACACACACACAUAUACACAUACAUACAUAUAUACAUAUACACACAUACAUACACCAGUGUGUGUGUAUAUGUGUAUGUGUAUAUAUAUAUAUAUAUGUGUGUGUGUGUGUGUGUGUGUGUGUGUGUGUGUGUGUGUCUACACAUACAUAUUUUUCACAUAUGUAUGCAUGUAUACUGACAGACUGGAAUGCCCUACCUCCCCUCUGUCAGGGUGAGCUUUGCAAACAGGCAUAACUGAAGAUUAAUAGAGACAUUCUAAGAAUAGGAAGGGACUGCAGACAGAAGGCCUGAGAGCUGGUGAGCUACGGAAGCGGAUACACUCUUAAGAAGUGAGAGGAUCGGUCUUUAGAUCAGUCGGCCAUUGGACCCAUUGUAACCCUUCCUACCCACCUGACCUCCUCGUGGCCAGAACAAGGAAAAGAACCCCGUUAGAGAAUAGGGUUCAUGGAGCUGAAGACAGAACAAUUCGAGUGGUUCCUCCACAGAGCAAAGUCACAUUCACUGUCCCUGACACAAAGUAAAAUGAGGUCUUAUUCCCUCUGCAGCCAGUCUGGGUCCCCAACCACCUCUGAGUCAGUGGGGAGAGGUGAAAAAUUAUUUUUAUGCAAGGACCAUUUUUAAAAAAUGUGUUAGGCUGCUAUCUCACAAAACUUUAGAUGUGGGGAUGGUGGGCAGAACCCUAGCUGCAAUCUCAGGCUGCAUGCCCAGAGCUUAGUGGCCUUCCAGUCCUGCCUACUUUCUGAGCCAUGCACCCCAAUAUUGUUACUUUCCAGCUGGGGGCUCCUUACUCUGAAAAUCCACAGCCCCAGUAACUAAGCAUGAGGUCGUUAGGUACCUUCUACAUUCUUUUUUUCCUUUACUUGGAUGGUGCGGGGUUGCUCCUAGACUCAAAGAAAUGCUUGCCUCUUUUCUCCCUCUAUGCUUUGAGGUAAUGGAACAUCCCUCCUUCAGAGAGAAUGAGAGGCUGAGAAAUUGACCUGAGAAUCUUCAGGGGUCCUUUUAUUGAACCAUGAAGCCCUGUCUUUCUUCAGAUACCCAAAAUGAAUGCAGACUUUCAACUAUGGUGGUUUCUUGAGCCCAAGGAGCGCCUCUGUUCAGAAGAACUCAGAACACACUUCCACAGGCUGCUGCCAUCUGGGCACAGCUGGCUUCUUCUCCAGUGCUUUUCUGACCCCUUAUUCUUGAAGAUGGUGGGGCAGGGUAGGUCCAGUAUCUGUGGAUUUUAUGAGCUCUCUGACUUCUCUGACUCCCUUGGAGUGGAGCUCUUUGGAGGCAUUAGCAAGCAGCACAUAAACACCAGUGGUUUCUUUAUGCAGUGAAGAAUUCACUAUUUCAUUGAAUUCACCAUUUAACAUUUUAAAAUUUUCUAAGGGAAAAAUGCUCAGAGCAGCUUUUUAUCAUAAAUUCUACCUCAUCUUCCCCUCUCCACCCAUUCUUGCAAUGGGCAUUUCCCUUUGGCACUUUUGUAAGUACUUGAUUAGAAUUGCCAAUACAUGCUACCAACCUUCUCCACUGACAGCACACGCCACCCACCCAUCGGCCCCUCUUCCUUUCCCUUCAGGGCUCACUCUUUGAAGGAGCCAAUCACAAACCCAUUAGAUGCACAACAAACAGCAUACAAUGGUACCCAGGACGUUUUUUACUUUCUCUAGUAUGCCUCAGUAUCCUUACUACAAAACAAGAUUAACCUAGACUGAUCUCUAACACCCUUCCAGCUCUGUAGUUCUGUGUCUUCGAAAUGUAUUCAGAAAAGCACAUGAGAUGGGGAGAUGGCUUAAUGGUUAAAGUGUUGGCUGCACAAGCCUGUGGACCUGUGUUUGGAUCCCCAGCACCCGUGUAAGGGGCGCAGUGGCAUGCAACUGUAAUCCCUGUGCUGAGGUAGGCUAUGUGUAGCUGGACUUUAGCUAUUUUGUGGGUUCUUCUUACUUCCACUCUUCUCCACACCUUUUCUUCCACCCUUUCAACCCCCUACACUAGACAGGAGAGAAAAAAGCAUAGGGGGAAAAAGGGUGACAUUAUUGUUAGACCACUUCCCGCUAAUUAGGGGCAUUGAGUUCCUUGGGGCAAGUUUGAUCUUCAACAUCAGGAUAUUUAAUUUCUUCUUGUUGUUUCUUCUUUUGCACCUGACUACCUAACAAACCAUGACCACCAACAACCAAUAGCAACCAACCACCAGCCAGCCCCACCCUGCUUUUGGGACCCUAGCAUUUAUAUAUCCUCUGAAAACUUGACAGAAUUCCAAACAUCACACAAUCACAGGAAGUAUCUGCAGCUGGCAAAAUCACAUCCCUGCUAGUGCAUGAGGCAAAUCAUGGUCAGAUGCUGUGGACAAUCUGAAGCAGCUCCAUAUUCCAUAUCUGGGUUUAAAAUGAAACAAUAUUAUUAUAAUAUUUCUCUCUGUGUGUAUUUUUUUUUUUUAAAGAAAACCAAAAUUCCAGUAUUGUCAUUAAGCUAGAGGGCAGAGACAUGCGGAUCCCUGGAGGUCACUGCAAGCCAGUCUAGCCAAACCAGCCAACUAUACAGGGCAGUUCUCUAUCCAGAAUGCGUUUCUAACACCUUGCCUGUGUGGCUUAGUGCGACCAUCUUGUGGUUUUCUAAGACUUCUUCAGAUUUGUACAAUGACCACCAAGGAUAUAGAGGGAUGACAUGUCAUGUGCCCUGGCUGAAGAAAGCCCAAAGUCAUGGGUCUCUGAGCUCCAAACAGGAGGGACAGAUGUUCUUGAAACAGUAUACAUGAUCCUCUGUGAGUUAGACACGCAGGGCUAGCUGAGUCCUUAUAUCUUCGUACGUCUCACGAACCGUUUUUUCUUCCUUAUAUUGAAACAAGUCAUCCCCUUAGCAUCACCUUUAAGGACGGGAAGCCCCAUGCCUGCGGGAAAUUGGUACACUCACUGCAAAUGGCAUAGGAGCAGAACUUAGCUGGACACCAGGCCACAUGUGUUCCCAUUUCAUCCCAUGCCAAGCAGCUCCUCACAGAGGCUUUUCUGCCUGGUUCUGGGAUCCAGGAGCAGGGUUGACCAUAGGAUGAGCAUCCAAACAGGAAAGCAUUCUGAGUAUGGAGAGACUGUUGAAAACUAGUGUGCACCAAUGGACCUGUGAUCUAAGCCGAGACGUUCUCAUGCAAACUGUGGGACACUGUGCAUUGAUUAUUUGUGUUAAAUACAGAUCGUUAGAGUCUGCAUAACCAAUGCAAACAGGAUCAAUUGGCAUGCAGACCCUGCAGGAAGUGACUAACACAUACAAAAGCCCCCCCCCCCCCGUCCCCCGUCCUUCUUCCUCCUACAUCUCUAGCUGUUCCUUCUUGGUCUCCCUCCCCGGUCUUCCUCUCUCAUCAAUGGGAUAGAGUUCCUUAGAGCUCUGUCCUAGAAUCUAAACGCCUUUAAUCCCUCUCUACAUCCUCUUUCUAGGCCACAGGAUCGAUUCCUCAGUCUUAACAAAAUUAUGAAAUCUGUGUCUUCUGGACACACCCCCUUCUGACCUCCAUUCACACUUGGUUCCCACACAACUGUCUUCUCAGGGUCAGACUUCUGAAGCUCAAAGGACCCAAACUGAAACCACUGUGCUCCCUCAAAUACACGUUCAGUCCUAUAGUGCCUCCAUCCAUCCAUGUAUUCUGAGUAUCUCCAUCUCCAUGACCUCAUAAAGACCAAAGGUUACUUACGUGGUUCUCAAAUAAUCCUUGAAUGUGUUCCCUCCUCCUAAAUCCACUGAUUCUAACUCCACCAAAGCACUGUCUUAGUUCUCUAGAGAGCAGGUGCCUCCCCAGCUGUUGAUAUGUCUUCCCAUUUUCCAGCAGUACAGUGACCCACUUCCAACCCAAUGCGUCUCCUAAAAGGAGACCAGAGUAACCUUCAGCAGAUGCUCUGUGGUGUUACAUCACUUCUCACUUAAAACUUUCCCUGGGUCUCCAUCACUUCUGAGAUUGUAUUCCAAAUCCCUAGCGAGACACCUGAUGCUCAGCUUUCUCCAGCCCUCACAGAUUCAGCUCCUAGCUACAUCUUGGCUUCCCUACCUGCUUUCCCUUUAUUUGAAACAGUUCCUUCAACAGCCCCUUAAAUCCCAGCAUACACACACACACACACACACACACACACACACACACACACACACACGCCUGUUUUCUGCCCACUGUUGAAACUCAGUUUAAAUUCAGCUUCAUCGAGGAAUUCUUCCAUGGCCACUUAGAAUAGGUUAUUUAAGGAUACUAUUCAGUGUGCAGAUGUCCCAUUUUAAUCAGUGACUUUUAACUGUCCAUUUCUGAGGGGCGUGGAUGAGAUCUUGAGUGAGCAUGUGCAUUGUUGGUGUGAACAUGGCCAUGUUAAGGACCUUACUGCCUCAGGCCCAUGGAAAGGGCAACACCUUCCCUGGGUGAGGCCCAGAAGCGUGGCAAAGCCUUUCUCUGAUCCACAUAUGAGUGUGUAUAAAAGAUUGAACAGCAUGCAUGCCAAAUGUAGCAGCCACAGCUUCCUCCUCCAGGAUGACUGCAACCUGAGGCUGCUCCCUUACAGAGAUCUCCCACAGAGACCAGUUUAUACCUCUCUUCCUGGCAUUGCCUAUGCACUGAGUUUUUGGGCUAUGUAGUAGGUGGUCUCCAACAGGGUGAGCCCGGCCCACCCAGCACCAGCUUUUCUGUAUGUGUGUCUGUUGGCCUCUUCAUUUCCAAGUUUCCCAGGUCUGGUUUCCAGGACCAAACCAAACAGGCUAAGAGGCUCACUUUCCCCCAGAACAACGCACAACAAUGGCUGAGCAGACAGUUAGAUAUGUGUUAAUUGUCGCACCUCAAGAUGCAAGACACAUUUUGGUUCAUUAUAGAUUUUUAAUAAUUGAUACUUAACUGAAAAUGCAGGAAAAGGAAGAGAAGGACUAUCUGUGCUCCUGUAACCUACCCGUAGCUUCUUGUUCUGGAUGCGGCAGGGAUAGAGAGGAGAGUAAAGAGACAAGGGAGGACCGAACAGGAAGAAGAUGGGAGUCUGAGCAUGGAAGGGAAGGGACUGAAACGUGCUGCUCUGAGAGGACUUCAAAACAUGGACAACAGGAUGUCAGCUUUUUAGGAAAGUUGGUAAGAAAGCCCAGGCCCAGAAAGACAAACACCACAUGUUCUCUCUCCUAUGUGGGUCCUCAUUUCCAAUUCUUAUCUAUGUGUGUCUAUGUGGGAGUGGAUGUGUAUUGAGGCCAGGAAGCUAGAAGGGAGCCAUGGGAGGAAGGAGAACAGAGGUGUGGAGUUGGGCAGCAGAAGAACAGCUUGUUGGGAGAAUGAAGAGGCCAAUCUUGGGGAUAGGAAGCCUUGGGUCGGAGGGAUGGAAUAUGGAUGGAGGAAGAUCACCCCAAAAUAAGGAUGCGUGAAAAAGCGACAAGGGAAUCUGACUGUUUUGCAAGUUAAUUAAAGCACAAGAGGUAAGGAUCAGACUGUGAACAGAGGUAAAACCACCCCCAGAAGACAGAUUAUUCAGUAGGACACCCUUCUUACGAUUGCUUUGUCAGGGAGGCCUCUGGGCCCCCCAAGCCCCAAACAAGGCAAGUUCCUGCCACUGCUCUUGGUCGCUCACCAGAAUUAGAUGGUAAGACCUGUCAUAGAAGAUGCCACAGCGUUGACUGGAACUGAGCCAGAAGUGUUCCUCCUUCUGGCUGCUACCUUGUAUGAUGCUGAAAGGUGCUACGCAGGACGUUGAGAGAGAAAUGCCAUCAAAGCCCAUAGCCAACUGUGAACCUUGUGUGGGACACUCCUGUCUUGCCAGGCUAUAUACCCCCUGGUACAACAGUGACGUAGCUUCCAUAGAGGUAACCAAGCACUUUAUGAUUUUUCUGACUGGAUUUGAGGGCAUUUCUUGCCUCCGAGGGUAUUGUAAAUCUGACAGAAAGUCUAUGGUUGUAGUGGUCAUAGAGCCUAUCGAGGAAACAAAUAUUGUUAUUCUGCUAAACAGAUGUAUCAAGUUGUAUUCAUGUUUAUGUCCACAGAUUGGUGCUGCUCCAAUCUUUGGUCAGAAAGCUUUCAGUUAGAGAAGCAGUGGGAGUUAGUUAUUGCAGAGAUUUGUAGCUGGUUAGUCACGCCUGGUCCUGAGUGGGCAUGUGCAUCACGUCUACCAGGGAACACUGGAGAAGCAGGGAGAACACGAGGAGGAAUGUUAUGGACUGUGGUCCUGUGGCAAGUGAUGCCCACUGUACUCGUGAACUCACAUGAGCUGUGAUUACCUCCAUAGACUAAACAAGAUAUGACCCAUCGACAGUCCAUCACAGAUGGAAGAGGGGCUCUGAGGAGCCACUGGCAGUUAAUGGCUGCCAGGGGAGGGGAGACAUUUUCUUUGAUGGCACAGCCACCUAACAGUUGUUUACACUUCUGUAAUAACCCCUCACCUAUGUUUGUGUAAGUAACCUGGGUUGAAUUCAUUGGGUCACCAAACAAACAAAACCAAACCAAGACACAGAAGUAGAAGGUAGACUGGGAAGAGAAAAGUGAUUGGUGAGGUAGGAGGGUAUGAGAGGGAAUUGGGAGUAGAAUAUGAUCAAUUUAUCCAAGAUAUCAACAUGAAACCUUUUGGUCUUGUUUUAUCUCUAAAAUGUCCUAUAAGGAGAUAUAGUUUAGAAAGAAGAAAAAUAUGGAGAACUGAGUUAAGAGAGGGAAGGACACUAGUUUUGGCCGCACAUAAGCAAGGCAGUCAACUUUUCAGGGACUGGAGCUGCCUCAUACACAAAGUGAUAAAACACAGAGACAUGAGGUGUCCGCUUGCCAGUCACUCUAAGCCCCAAGCAUCCAUCAAGGCUGUCUCUACCAACCCCUUAAUCAAACCAUCAAAGGUAUAUUUCUUUACUACACAGGUUGUAACAAGGCACAUCUGAAUUCUUCAUAGCCCACUGUGAAAAUGUCACCUUCUGAGAAAUGUCCAGUUUCUCUGAGAAGCCUCUUUGAACCAGUUUUCUUGUAGGAGUAGGUGUCAUAGGUGGGAAUUGUGGGAAGGCCAAACGUAAGGAUAAAUAAUCAAACUGAUCUAGCGUGAGGAAUUCAGCCUAGAAAUGCCCCCCCCCCCAUUUCAGUUAAAACGUUUUUAUUCACAUGGCACCAAAUGUCUUUCCACCCAACACAGCUCAAACACCAGUGCUUCACUUUUCACCGUGCCCUCUGUCCUCUGCCGGUCUUGUAUUUUGGUAAGAAGAGAUGAAUCUGACACGGUCAAUACAAACAGGGAGAAUGAGGACAUAAAUAAGUGAAAUAAAAUUACUGGCCAUCUCAGAGAUUGCGGUCAGCGAAAGAGCUGCCCACAGCAUCCCUUCAAUACAGGCAUUUAUGGCGCUCAGUGAAAAUGUGUUCUCUCCUUGCAGCUAGGGGCAGUUUGUUACAACGCUCAAGACAGAUUGCUGACUAUUGUUGUAAUUACAAACUUUCAAAGAUAAACCAAGGCUGGUCCUCGCCCAUUGUGAACUGUAUCCAUAGAGUUGUUACUAUAGGUUGGGGGGUGGGAGGGGCGGGAUGGAUACAAGCUAAUGAUUUUCCUCUGAGGAUAUGUCUGUGAAAUAGCGCACAGCUGAGAAGAAUGAUGGACAUAUUCAUUAUUACAAGACGAAGUGAGAAAACCGAGAUGUCUCUUUAUUAAUAGCAUGUUCCAGAACAACGGCUGUAUAGGCAAUAAAAAAAAUAAAUAACCUCAGACAUUCGAGUUAACAUCAAGUGAGAGUUUUCAGAUUACUUACGUCAG